CCUGCGUACAGGGUCAUAUAGGCUAGGUUUCAUUUCAACAUUUUGUUAACACUGUGCCUUUUCUGCAUCAUUUUAUAGUGGAAAAUAUAUGUAUAUAUUUUUUCCAAAAGAAAUGCAUCAGGCAUCCUGGAUUUUUCAAAGCUUUCUGCAAAUUGAAAACAUAUCACAUGUUUUAGGUAUUUCUCUUUAAGGAAUCAUGAUUCAGCACCAGUGUUAACUAUUUAUGACACUUAACAUUGGUAAUCAAAUGACAGCCAACAUUGGAAUUGAAAAGGGUGGGCAGCUAGCUAGUUAGCUCAAUUGUAACUUAAGGAAAAGUUGGAAACAAAUCAUGUUAGCAUUCAUCCUUAGACACUUGACACAAUCAGUCAUCAAUAUUGGCGUGCUAUUUAGCCUCAUUGGCCUAUUUACAGCCCACAGAAAACUGACAUAGGCCUAUUUUCUUCAAUGCAAGUUCAUCAAUUCAUGGCUUAAAAUCUUGAGCAGUGGAACAGAAAUUCUUAGCAGUAAGCUACGCAAGAGUCCUAACAAAUGGGAGCAUGUGCGACUUGCGGAUAUGGCACAGGCUCUGCAUGCAGCAAAAUAAAAUAAUAAAAAAAUAUAUAUUUUUUGACCAGCCAUUGGCUCUAGGGAGAGGAGGGAGGCGGGGCCUAUGGGAGGCAGUGACCAGCCAUUGGCUGUACAGAGAGGAGGGAGGCGGGGCCUAUGGGAGGCAGUGACAAGCCAUUGGCUGUACAGAGGAGGGAGGCGGGGCCUAUGGGAGACAGUGACCAGCCAUUGGCUGUACAGAGAGGAGGGAGGCGGGGCCUAUGGGAGGCAGUGACCAGCCAUUGGCUGUACAGAGAGGAGGGAGGCGGGGCCUAUGGGAGGCAGUGACCAGCCAUUGGCUCUACAGAGAGGAGGGAGGCGGGGCCUACGGGAGGCAGUGACCAGCCAUUGGCUGUACAGAGAUGAACUCCUCAGUUCCGUGCGUCCCACCGCUGUCACCCAGAGCUCCAACGCUUGAUGGGCAUCCAGUAUCUUCCCGACUUCAAAGAAAAGGCGCUGAGACUGCGUGAUGUUGAGAUGUUCUUUUAUUGAGAGCCCACCCGAGCAGCGCUGCCAUACACCCCCCCCCCAAUGACGGUAAAACGCGUGGACGGCGUGUGGAGCUCUGCCUCCGGGCUCCGGCCGCGGGUGGCGACCAGAGCGAUCCCUGGGCGCGGGUCGUGCUGCUGUUCAGGUUUUCACACGCCGCAUAAGCCCCC
ensembl:lncRNA